UCGAGGGGCAUCAUGAGGUAGCAAUACCUUGAUGGCGACCGGCGCACGGGUGAGUAACGCGUAUGCAACCUGCCUGAUACCGGGGUAUAGCCCAUGGAAACGUGGAUUAACACCCCAUAGUACUUUUAUCCUGCAUGGGAUGUGAGUUAAAUGUUUAAGGUAUCGGAUGGGCAUGCGUCCUAUUAGUUAGUUGGCGGGGUAACAGCCCACCAAGACGAUGAUAGGUAGGGGUUCUGAGAGGAAGGUCCCCCACAUUGGAACUGAGACACGGUCCAAACUCCUACGGGAGGCAGCAGUGAGGAAUAUUGGUCAAUGGACGAGAGUCUGAACCAGCCAAGUCGCGUGAGGGAAGACUGCCCUAUGGGUUGUAAACCUCUUUUAUAAGGGAAGAAUAAGUUCUACGUGUAGAAUGAUGCCUGUACCUUAUGAAUAAGCAUCGGCUAACUCCGUGCCAGCAGCCGCGGUAAUACGGAGGAUGCGAGCGUUAUCCGGAUUUAUUGGGUUUAAAGGGUGCGUAGGCGGUUUAUUAAGUUAGUGGUUAAAUAUUUGAGCUAAACUCAAUUGUGCCAUUAAUACUGGUAAACUGGAGUACAGACGAGGUAGGCGGAAUAAGUUAAGUAGCGGUGAAAUGCAUAGAUAUAACUUAGAACUCCGAUAGCGAAGGCAGCUUACCAGACUGUAACUGA
rnacentral:rRNA from 1 species